rnacentral:rRNA from 1 species
AUGGUACGCAUGCAUGCUACCAGCGGCGACGCUAGGCUUAGGCGAAGCCCCAGGCCAUCCCAGGCAGCCUUUGUGCACGGUAGCAUUGUAGCUACGGUAUUCGCUACAGUGCACAAAGGAAACUGGUCUCAGGCCCCAGGCAGCAGCCCGGGCUGCCUGGGGCAUGUCUCCACCACUGCAUGCUACAAAGUUGUGAUGACAAAUUUCUCGACGCUGGUCAUGCCGGACUUUGUGGAGAAAAGUUGUGUGAUGUGCUCAUGCAGUUUAUACCUUAUCGUGCUGAUAUGCAUCUUGAGUUCCCUUGUAAUCAUGCUUAUAUUAUAUGACAUGAAUGCAUGCGUGUUGAACGAUAGACCCAUUCUCCUCCUCCUCUCCACUCUUUCCACCAUUGAAAAUCUUCUGAGUGUUAUGCCCGGCUCGUUCCCUUUCUUCACACGGCUAGCCGGAGUAGAGAAGGGCGAGGCGCCUAGAGAUCCAUUGGUCCUCCUUGCAAACUUCAAGGACCGUGUAUCCCCGCUGAUAAUAAUGUGCUCUCGGGGCCCUUGGAUGCCCUCCCUUCUUCCAUCCGAGAAAAAUACAGUGGGCCAAUCAUGCAUCAAAGCUAGAUCAAAGAUUGAUGAUCAUAUUACUUUAUUUCCUUUGUUUGAUGUGGUCCACAACUUCAUGCGUGUUGUAUGCACACGUUAUUUGGUUGAGCCUCGUAAAUUUAUACUUGGACCUGAAUGUGGCUUCUACACUGGACCUGAUCUCUGGUCCGUCCAUUCUCGAUGCUUCAGCCACCUCCGAUCAACUUCCGAUUUCUCUGAAGGCCCAGCAAGUGAGAGAAAGAAGACAAUGGAGCAGAUGUACAGCAACAGAGGAGAUCCGACUCAUCAUCAUAAUGGACAAUCCCCAGGGGUCAACAAACUGAACUUCGGCAAGCAUGUUACCUGCAUUUGCAAGGCAAGUAGACAGCUUUCUUGUGACAUAAAUGCACAUCGGGGUAGCGAAAAGCAUCAAGUGCUUAACCUGAAGCUAAAUGCAUUUAUGCCGGAAAAGAAUGGAAUUUUCACUCUCCAUGGCGCGUAUAGACUAGCCAUGGAUGAAAAGAAAUCUAAAAUGAUUGGACCCAACCACAGUAUCCCAGGAGACCAAAGUAUUAGGAACCCUAUCUGGAAAACAAAUGUCCCCCAAAAAGUGCAUAUUUUUACGUGGAGGCUAGCAACUCAAUCCCUUGCGGUUCAAACUAACAGAUUUAGACGUAUCCCGGGCCUCACUCCAAUUUGUAAUGUUUGCGGUGCUGAUGACGAAACAGGAUUCCAUGUUGCGCAGCGAUGUACGUUUGCGAGAGCCCUUUGGCAUGAGUUGAAGGACGUGGACAAGGUCAAUGUCGAUGAAAGUUUCUUGCUGGAGAGCAGCAGUGGAGCAUGGGGAGUCGUGGUUCGACAUCAUGAUGGGAGAAUUAUCUUAUCGGCCUCGGACUAUAUUCCGCGAUGCAAAGGAGCAGAUUUUGCAGAAGCUAUUUCUUGUCUAGAAGGACUACAGAAAGCGAUGUCGGGUACAAACCUACCUCUAGUUAUUGAGAAGGACAACAGCAUGGUGGCAAUGGUACUCGACCUCUCAUGUAUGGUUAGAUCGAAAAUCAGAGUGAUUGCGAGGGAAUUUCAAGCCAUCAAGCAAGGAAGCAGAGAAGUUAAAGUUCGUAAAGUAGAUAGAAGAGUCAACAGUUUAGCCCAUAGUCUUGCCCAGUUUGGGCGUAGAGAGUUACAUGGUGGUUUAUGCAAGGGACAGUGCCAACCUGCGUUUGAGCGUGGCCUUUCGAGAUUGUAA